CGAAGGGAAACCGAGUCUUAACUGGGCGUUAAGUUGCAGGGUAUAGACCCGAAACCCGGUGAUCUAGCCAUGGGCAGGUUGAAGGUUGGGUAACACUAACUGGAGGACCGAACCGACUAAUGUUGAAAAAUUAGCGGAUGACUUGUGGCUGGGGGUGAAAGGCCAAUCAAACCGGGAGAUAGCUGGUUCUCCCCGAAAGCUAUUUAGGUAGCGCCUCGUGAAUUCAUCUCCGGGGGUAGAGCACUGUUUCGGCAAGGGGGUCAUCCCGACUUACCAACCCGAUGCAAACUGCGAAUACCGGAGAAUGUUAUCACGGGAGACACACGGCGGGUGCUAACGUCCGUCGUGAAGAGGGAAACAACCCAGACCGCCAGCUAAGGUCCCAAAGUCAUGGUUAAGUGGGAAACGAUGUGGGAAGGCCCAGACAGCCAGGAUGUUGGCUUAGAAGCAGCCAUCAUUUAAAGAAAGCGUAAUAGCUCACUGGUCGAGUCGGCCUGCGCGGAAGAUGUAACGGGGCUAAACCAUGCACCGAAGCUGCGGCAGCGACGCUGAUGCGUUGUUGGGUAGGGGAGCGUUCUGUAAGCCUGCGAAGGUGUGCUGUGAGGCAUGCUGGAGGUAUCAGAAGUGCGAAUGCUGACAUAAGUAACGAUAAAGCGGGUGAAAAGCCCGCUCGCCGGAAGACCAAGGGUUCCUGUCCAACGUUAAUCGGGGCAGGGUGAGUCGACCCCUAAGGCGAGGCCGAAAGGCGUAGUCGAUGGGAAACAGGUUAAUAUUCCUGUACUUGGUGUUACUGCGAAGGGGGGACGGAGAAGGCUAUGUUGGCCGGGCGACGGUUGUCCCGGUUUAAGCGUGUAGGCUGGUUUUCCAGGCAAAUCCGGAAAAUCAAGGCUGAGGCGUGAUGACGAGGCACUGCGGUGCUGAAGCAACAAAUGCCCUGCUUCCAGGAAAAGCCUCUAAGCAUCAGGUAACAUCAAAUCGUACCCCAAACCGACACAGGUGGUCAGGUAGAGAAUACCAAGGCGCUUGAGAGAACUCGGGUGAAGGAACUAGGCAAAAUGGUGCCGUAACUUCGGGAGAAGGCACGCUGAUAUGUAGGUGAAGUCCCUCGCGGAUGGAGCUGAAAUCAGUCGAAGAUACCAGCUGGCUGCAACUGUUUAUUAAAAACACAGCACUGUGCAAACACGAAAGUGGACGUAUACGGUGUGACGCCUGCCCGGUGCCGGAAGGUUAAUUGAUGGGGUUAGCGCAAGCGAAGCUCUUGAUCGAAGCCCCGGUAAACGGCGGCCGUAACUAUAACGGUCCUAAGGUAGCGAAAUUCCUUGUCGGGUAAGUUCCGACCUGCACGAAUGGCGUAAUGAUGGCCAGGCUGUCUCCACCCGAGACUCAGUGAAAUUGAACUCGCUGUGAAGAUGCAGUGUACCCGCGGCAAGACGGAAAGACCCCGUGAACCUUUACUAUAGCUUGACACUGAACAUUGAGCCUUGAUGUGUAGGAUAGGUGGGAGGCUUUGAAGUGUGGACGCCAGUCUGCAUGGAGCCGACCUUGAAAUACCACCCUUUAAUGUUUGAUGUUCUAACGUUGACCCGUAAUCCGGGUUGCGGACAGUGUCUGGUGGGUAGUUUGACUGGGGCGGUCUCCUCCUAAAGAGUAACGGAGGAGCACGAAGGUUGGCUAAUCCUGGUCGGACAUCAGGAGGUUAGUGCAAUGGCAUAAGCCAGCUUGACUGCGAGCGUGACGGCGCGAGCAGGUGCGAAAGCAGGUCAUAGUGAUCCGGUGGUUCUGAAUGGAAGGGCCAUCGCUCAACGGAUAAAAGGUACUCCGGGGAUAACAGGCUGAUACCGCCCAAGAGUUCAUAUCGACGGCGGUGUUUGGCACCUCGAUGUCGGCUCAUCACAUCCUGGGGCUGAAGUAGGUCCCAAGGGUAUGGCUGUUCGCCAUUUAAAGUGGUACGCGAGCUGGGUUUAGAACGUCGUGAGACAGUUCGGUCCCUAUCUGCCGUGGGCGCUGGAGAACUGAGGGGGGCUGCUCCUAGUACGAGAGGACCGGAGUGGACGCAUCACUGGUGUUCGGGUUGUCAUGCCAAUGGCACUGCCCGGUAGCUAAAUGCGGAAGAGAUAAGUGCUGAAAGCAUCUAAGCACGAAACUUGCCCCGAGAUGAGUUCU
rnacentral:rRNA from 1 species